ACAAACACAGUCACCAUCAGAAGAACUUGUGUAAUCACUCUGUUCAUUUUUUAGUUUGCUGCAGUGUUUUGUUUUGUUUUUUAAGCCAUUGCAAUAUGGGCAAUGAGAAGGAAGAUUAUGGAAGGUGGAGAACUUUUUAAAAUGGAAGAAAUUUGCAUUUCUAUACAAAAACACAUGAGUCAAGCAAAUGGGAAGCCAGGCUUGGUCUUUGAUGUCAUUCCUCAGGAAAGCAAAGGUUCCCAUUUGCAGAAAGAGAUGCCAGGUGGAGUAAUUUUGCAGUUGAAUCCUAACACUCUUUCCUACUGAUAGCAUAUACUGCAGAAACAUUCCCACUGGAACAAUUACAUGCACGAUCUCCUUCCCACUCUACUUUAUUGCCCUGCUCUAAUAAAAAUGUUUGUAAAUAUUAACUGUCUCUGAAUGAACAAAGGUUUUCAGAUGGCAGUUGUGGAAAAUGAGCUUGCUUGCUCUCUUUUUGCACUGGAAGAGUGAGCAGAUUUGACUAAAUAACUAAUAAUACUAGCCUGCAGGUCAAAUUGCAAUAAUCGCAUUCUGCACAUUAUGGGGAAGGACAUACUUGGUGGAUAAGAUAGUGAUCACAUGGUACUAUCUUUGCAUGUUGCAAAAUGAAAACAACAUUAGCUUCAUUUACCAUGGGUGUUUCUUCCCAUAAACCACUUAGCUUUACUUAAUUACUCAUUCCUCUCUUCCUCCAUCCAGGGCAGGUGGAUUAACAUCUGCAGACAUAAGAUGGAUACUGUCAUGCUAACAAAUGUCUCCUUGUGAUCAGUUCAGGUUUUCCUUAUUGCUUCUUGUAAUACAUAGUAACGGAAACAUUAAUUAGUGCCCAUCCAGCAGCAACUUGACAGGACUAUGAUUUAGCUAUAAAAAUGCCUGUUGAGUUGCAAUUCAAUAUUUUAGUUUCUUAUAUGCUUUUAUUUUAUUGCACCACACUGAUGGGGGUGGGAGAAUAAUAAUGUCUCACUAAAGGAUAAAGAGAGAGAGAGAGAGAGAUAAUGGAGUCUCUUUCUCUGUCACUCAAUGUUUAAUUUUUUAAAAAAUAAAUCUCUUAACGGUGGCUGUCAUAACAUCAUUUACUGACAUAUAAAUUGCUCAGUGAGUUGAAAUGAAAGACAUAUUGGUAAACAAGAUGCCUGCUUGAUAUUUUGGAUUCCCAAAGGUGGAACAGAGGAUAUGCAGGCUUAUUUUAAAAAAAUCUAAAUAAAUGACUUCUUUCAGUCAUCUCUUUUGUAAGGGCUCACUCUCUGCUCUGCUCUGGUUAAAAGCAAGUAGGCUUGAUUUUAUAAAUCUUAUCCUAUCUCUCCAAGUAGGUGAAAAGAAAUAAUCUUCUCAUUUCACCUUCCUUUAGCUAAAAUUUUUGUCUCAAUUUACCAACAGGAAAAAAUGUUCUGUGUGUAUAUGUGUAUAUGUGUGUGUGUGUGUGUGAGAGAGAGAGAGAGAGAGAGAGUGACAAUCUGUGAGCAUGACAUAACACUUAAUGAGAUCACAAGGAAAAAUUGAAGGAAUCAUUAAUAGGCUACUGCUCCUGCCCUAUGCCAAAAUGAGCCCUGUUCAAUGGGAUUUUAACACAUGGGAUCGGGCUGUCCACCUAAACCCAUAGUUCCACCUAAACCAUUAAUACUAUACAUAGUUGAAGUGUGUAGAGGUUUUCCUAAAUAUAUCCAAU